UUUUCUUCCGCACUUCACAGGGCCGAAAAGAGAGAAACGAUGGGCGACUGGGAGUAUCUGAGUAGCCAGCCAAACGCCGCCUUCGUUGUUUUUACUUUUUUCCAAGCGGACUCUAAUGUUACAAAUGCAAGGUUCAACCAGGAGCUCUUCAACCUGGGCGAAGAGUUAACGCGAGCCCAGCACUCCAGGGUUCAGGAUGACGAAGGGCUGGAGACCGACGGGCACCUGCCAAACUCCUGGAAAAUAUCGCUGGACGGCAUUGAGCCCUCCCUGGACCUUCACAGAAACUUUGAAGAAGCUGCUGCCCUUCAGCGGGUUGCAGAAGAGUUGAGAAUAAUUGCAGCCCAGCUUGAAUACAAUGUUGUGGCUCAGGCAACUCAAAACCUCCAAAGAAACAUCUCAACCACCAGAUUUUAUGAAUUGAGUCAUCACAUAAACAUCGAGGUGGAGAACGUGAUGAGGGCGAUGCAGGGGGUCGUGGACUUGGAAGCUCUGCCCCAGGAGCGAGUUGUCUUGGCGCUCACCCUCACACUGGUGAAGGGUGUGUGUCAACAGGCCCCACAGCUGCUGAGAACCCUAUUCAACACUGUGCUGCAGUACAUUACCGUUUCUUUAAGGCCCAGGUGAUGUUUGAGCUGCAACAAGAGGAAGUAACACAAAAAUGUGGGGGGGGGGGUUUACGGCUGAUUCUGAAACCUACUUAUGUGAAGUCAGCUGUGACGAAAGCUUUUUUGACUUUGAAGUAUUGAACACUUGAAUUCAGUUUAAAUCAAAGUGGGGAAAACUGAAUAUUAAAUGUUUUUCUUUAUUUGCACAGUUUAGUUUUACUUAUGUUUGUUUUGUAUUUGAAAUGCCUGAUGCAUUUUUUUUUCCUUUGGUAUGUACAGUACAUAUAUCAGCAGGCUGUUUUUCGGGAUGCUUUUUGUGGUAAUUCUUGAAAUAAAUGUCUGCUGAAUUACCCA
rnacentral:lncRNA from 1 species